CCGCCCCUGCGAUGUUGGUGAUGGCAUCCCAUAUUUGAGCCAACAUCUAUUUGAACGGGAGUCCGCGUCGCGUCGUGGUGAGCGCCUGCCCCUCCGGGGAACCAGGAUGCCUGAAGCGGCGCGCAGGACACCCACUUAGCUCUGAGGUUCAAAUAGAAACAUGCCACACGGCAGAGCGGGGGCGUU
rnacentral:other from 1 species